rnacentral:rRNA from 1 species
UACAGAGGGUGCGAACGUUGCUCGGAAUUACUGGGCGUAAAGCGCAUGUAGGCGGAUCCAUAAGUCGGGCGUGAAAUCCCCAGGCUCAACCUGGGAACUGCGCUCGAAACUGUGGGUCUUGAGUGUCGGAGAGGAUGGCGGAAUUCCUGGUGUAGAGGUGAAAUUCGUAGAUAUCAGGAGGAACACCGGUGGCGAGGGCGGGUCUCUGGGCCGAUACUGACGCUGAGGAGCGAAAGCGUGGGGAGCGAACAGG